GACGAACGCUGGCGGCGUGCUUAACACAUGCAAGUCGAACGGAGAGGCCCUGCUUUUGUGGGGUGCUCGAGGGGCGAACGGGUGAGUAACACGUGAGUAACCUGCCCUUGACUUUGGGAUAACUUCAGGAAACUGGGGCUAAUACCGGAUAGGAGCUCCUGCUGCGUGGUGGGGAUUGGAAAGUUUCGGCGUUUGGGGAUGGACUCGCGGCUUACGAGCUUGUUGGUGGGGUAGGGGCUUACCCAGGCUUUGACGGGUAGCCGGCAUGAGAGGGUGGCCGGGCUCAUUGGUACUGCGGUACGCACCAGUCUCCUACGGGAGGCAGCAGUGGGGAGUAUUGCACAGUGGGCGGACGUCUGAUGCAGCAACGCCGCGUGCGGGAUGACGGCCUUCGGGUUGUAAACCGCUUUCGCCUGUGACGAAGCGGGAGUGACGGUAAUGGGUAAAGAAGCACCGGCUAACUACGUG
rnacentral:rRNA from 1 species